GAUGAACGCUAGCGGCAGGCCUAACACAUGCAAGUCGAGGGGCAGCACGAAAAGCUUGCUUUUUUGGUGGCGACCGGCGCACGGGUGCGUAACGCGUAUGCAACCUACCCUGUACUGGGGGAUAGCCCGGAGAAAUCCGGAUUAACACCCCAUAGUAUCAUUUGUUCGCAUGGACGAGUGAUUAAAGGUUACGGUACAGGAUGGGCAUGCGUCCUAUUAGCUAGAUGGUAAGGUAACGGCUUACCAUGGCAACGAUAGGUAGGGGGCCUGAGAGGGUGAUCCCCACACUGGUACUGAGACACGGACCAGACUCCUACGGGAGGCAGCAGUGAGGAAUAUUGGACAAUGGACGCAAGUCUGAUCCAGCCAUGCCGCGUGCAGGAAGAAUGCCCUAUGGGUUGUAAACUGCUUUUAUUUGGGAAUAAACCUCCUUACGUGUAGGGAGCUGAAUGUACCAAAUGAAUAAGCACCGGCUAACUCCGUG
rnacentral:rRNA from 1 species